ensembl:lncRNA
CUCUUUUCUUCUCCUCUUCUCUCCUCAGCACCGCCGACAGUCGAGGAUGAGCGCUCGUAUCAGCCACCCGCCCAAUUAGCACCGCAUGUGAUUGGCUACCUGUUUCUUGGACCCGGCGCUUUGGGACCCGGCCCAGCUGAGACAUGCGGAGAGGAGGACGUGCAAAAAAAAUUAAUUAAUUUACAUUACAGGUCAUUCAGCAGACGCUUUUAUCCAAGCGACUUACAUUACACUUUAAACCCAUGGCUUUUUCACAUUUUUGCCCGGGGAGCAAUUAGGGGUUAGGUGUCUUGCUCAGGGACACUUCGACAUGGAACAUGGGGCAGCCUAGACUCGAACCACCAACCUUGUGCUUCCUAGCACACCUUCUCUAACCCCUGCGCCACGACGACCCAUUUACAAAUAUUACCGGGUAUAUAAUCCACGUUUCAAAAGCACAAAAACACAAAUAUUGACUAUUUGUAAAAAGUAUUUUUAAUUUAAUAAACAACAAAAAUUAAUAAAACGUUUUUUUAUUUUAAUUUUUACCUGCUCAUGGGGCCACAACCCGUCUAUGGACCAGCCGCCACUGAGUUCAGUUAAUAAUCAAUUUACAUAAUGAUAAUGUUGCUGGAAAAAUGUUAAUUCCAAUAAUAAUAUCGAAUAGUGAUUUUUGAAAUAACAUUAACAGAUCCAUUAGGCUUUUAAGCAACAUCUGAUAGUUGAAAUGUAGUGGGAUUUUUUUACCUAAACAUAUUUUAUUCUUAUUCAGAUUGCUGCCAAAACACCACGAGAAGGCUGUCGGCUCAUUUCUGCAUCGGGACGUUUCUCCGCUCUAGUGACACAAUAGGUGUGAAUCCAGUGACUCUGUCCUGGUCUCAUCUUCCGGGUGGAAAAGAACCUCUAUAGCGGAGUAAUCACAAGCUUCAGCGUGGAUUACGUGUGGAUUAUUUUGUUUUUGUUUUGUUACUACAUUUUUAUGUUAAUUUACAUUUUCCAUAGUUAAAAUUCCCCCCUGAAUUCCGAUGCAACAUUACAACAAAAUGCAUCAAUGGCUCACGAUGUAAAUCCCUCAUGCUGUGCAUUCAACGUUCUACCACAUUAUAUGCCGUUUUAAUUCAUAAUUUAUCAGCAGUUAUUUCGUUAGUUUGGAGGAUAUUAAUGCAUUUGAAAUAACAAUUUAUUUAUAUAUAUAUAUAUUAUAUUAAAUUUACUCUCAUGAUUUGUGUACGUGGAUGGAUUUGUUUUUGUUAUGAAGCCCUUUAUAAGAGAAGCCUGCAGGUGGCAGUGUUUGCAUUGACAAACCCUCUGAGAGAAGUGCUGCUCUGAUCCUUCACUGUGUUCCGUCUCUCCCAAUCAUCAGUUUGAGAGCUUCUACAGAGGAAAUUUCAAGAGGAAUCCGGUCCGCUGCAACCGACCACUGUGCCGAGGACUUUAGUUGGAUGCUCAUUCUCUUCCUGUCCCGCUCUCUGCUCACUCAGUGCUGCUCAGCUCAGGGACGGGAAGGAAACACCAAUUUGGCAGCGCUACAGGGAUUACGGCGGUAGUGGGCAUUUUUUAAUCUGGGACAGAGUGUGGCAUUUUCUGCAUUUAAAGCUGUCACCAGUCCUGCCCCCAUCCAUCGGCCUGUCACCCCCGUGCCGUCCCGUUAGGAGAAACACGAAACACUGCUGGAGCUGAUUAGACUCUUUAAAAUAAAUAAAUAAAAUAAAUAAACGGUAACCUAAAUCUCCCGAGCCGGGGCUUUACGCAGCCAGAGCCCCCAUUACUGGUUCCUCUGACCCCCCGC